rnacentral:rRNA from 1 species
ACAUGCAAGUCGAACGGGGAAACAUGAAAGAAGUUUCGGAUGGAAUUUAUGUUUCUAGUGGCGGACGGGUGAGUAACGCGUAAACAAUCUGCCUUAGAGAGGGGGAUAACAGAUAGAAAUAUUUGCUAAUACCGCAUAAGACCACAGGUAGGCAUCUACUAGGGGUAAAAGGAGCAAUCCGCUUUAAGAUGAGUUUGCGUACUAUUAGCUAGUUGGUGAGGUAACGGCCCACCAAGGCGACGAUGGUUAGCCGGCCUGAGAGGGUGAACGGCCACAUUGGAACUGAGAUACGGUCCAGACUCCUACGGGAGGCAGCAGUGAGGAAUAUUGGGCAAUGGGCGAAAAAGCCUGACCCAGCAACGCCGCGUGAAGGAAGAAGGUUUUAGGAUUGUAAACUUCUGUUGUAAGGGAAAAAGAAAGUGAUGGUACCUUACGAGGAAGCUACGGCAAACUAUGUGCCAGCCGCCGC